GAGCUGCGGUACCGGGUUCCGCCCCGGCCCGCGCCCUCUAGCUGGCGCCACCCAAGCGGCAAGGGACGUCGCGGCCCUCCCGGGAUUGGUGGGAGGAUCGUGGGGGAGCGGCAGCUCAGGACGGAAUACGGCAAUGACCGCCCCGGUCGCGAGGGUGACCCUGCCCCGGGCUGCUGUGGGGGCGCAAGAACCCUUUCACUUUACGGCGAGAUUAAGCUCAGGGUCAAGUUCUGAGCAAAAAGUGUCAAGGAGCCUUUUUGCAACCUCCUAUACUAUUGAAACAGAUUCUGUGCCCUUUAAAGGAGAUAAUAACUAACAUCUGGGGAGCGCUUUACAAUUUAGAAAAGGUCUUUCACACACAGGCCUGUUUCAUCUUCACAACAAUCUUAUAAAACAGAUAUAUUGUUCCCAUUUCCCAAAUAAUGAAACGGAAGCGCCGAAAACAUCUCCUAUAGGGCUCAUCAAACUGUGGUCAACUUAGUAAAUGAUGUUGACAGUGGAAGUGUGAUCAUUUUAUUUUCCUGCCUUUGGAAUUGAAGAAUGUAAUUUUGCAAAAAUUUUGUUGAAGAUGAUGUAGCUUUGGUUCAGAGAGCUGGAGUACAAUGGCACCAUCUCAGCUCGCUGCAACCUCCACCUCCUGGGUUCAAGCGAUUCUCCUGCCUCAGCCUCCCGAGUAGCUGGGAUUACAGGUUCCAAGUCUCUGGCCUCUCAAACAUGGUACCAUCCCUAAUGAAGUCAACAGGGGUCCAGCAUGACAGGAUGGAAGUACAAGUGUCAGCACCUAUGUGAGUCCCAAGAGGGGAAAUUAGAAACAAAAAGGAAGAAGAGGACAUAGGCCAGGCACGGUGGCUCACGCCUGUAAUCCCAACACUUUGGGAGGCCGAGGUGGGCGGAUCACCUGAGGUCAGGAGUUCAAGACCAGCCUGGUCAACACGGCAAAAGCCCAUCUCUACUAAAAAAUACAAAAAAUUAGCCAGGCGUGGUGGUGGGAGCCUGUAAUCCCACCUACUCGGGAGGCUGAGGCAGGAGAAUUGCUUCAAUCUGGGAGGCAGAGGUUGCAGUGAGCUGAGAUCGUGCCAUUGCACUCCAGCCUGGGCGACAGAGUAAGACUCUGUCUCAGAAAAAAAAAAAAAAAAAAAGGAAAAAAAAAGAUGAUAUAGUCAAAGAAAUAACAUUAAAUUUCUUAUAAUUUAAGACGAAUGAUUUCAGAUUGAAAAGUUUAUAAAGGUGUCAAAGAGAAAAGGAAAGAUCCACACUAGAUACAUUAGAAUGAAAUGUCAAAGUAACAUACAUAAAGAAGAAAUUCUGAAAUCUUCUAGAAAGAAAGAACAUGUUGUCUAUGAAGGAACAAGGAUCAUAUUGAUAUUAGAUUUCUCAACAGCACAUGUGCUGCAAGAAGACAAAGGAGUAAUAUUUAUUAAGUAUUGUGAAACAAACCUAGAGCUUAGAAUUUCAUAUUUAAAAUUUUAAAUAAAUUAUCAUUCAAAUUGAUAUAGUUUGGGGGCCGGGUGUGGUGGCUCACGCCUAUAAUCCCAGCACUUUGGGAGACUAAGGUGGGCAGAUCACUUGAGCUCAGGAGUUUGAGACCAGCCUGGCAAACAGGGCAAAACCCCAUCUCAAAAUACAAAAAUUAGCUAGAUAUGGUGGUGCAUGCCCAUAAUCCCAGCUACUUGGGAGGCUGAGGCUCGAGAAUUGUUUGAACUUGGGAGACGGAGGUUGCAGUGAGCCAAGAUCGUGCCAUUGCACUCCAGCCUGGGUGACAGAGUGAGACUCGGUCUCAUAUAUAUAUGAGACUGACGAAUUGAUACAGUUUGGAUAUAUGUCCCUGCCCCAGUCUCAUGUUGAACUGUAAUCUGCAGUGUUGGAGGUGGGGCCUGGUGGGAGGUGGUUGGAUCAUGGGGGCAGAUUUCCAUGAAUGGUUUAACACCAUCUUCCUGGUUUGUCCUCAUGACAGUGAGUGAGUUCUUGAGAGAACUCAUCAUUUAAAAAUGUGUGGCACUUCCUCUCUUUCUCUCUUGCUCCUGCUCUGGGCAUGUGACGUGCCUGCUCCCCCUUUGCCUACUGCCAUAAUUCAGAGUUUCCUGAGGCCUCCCAAGAAGAUAAGCCGAUGCCAGCACCGUGCUUCCUGUAAGCUGGCAGAACUAUGAGUAAAUUAAACCUCUUUUUUAAAUAAGUUACCCAGUCUCAGGUAUUUUUUAUAGCAAUGUGAGAAUGUGCUAGCACACAAAUAUAAGUUACCACUUAAAUUAUCAUUCAAAUAUAAAAGCAUAGUAAAGCUGACAUUAAGCCUCAAGCAUACGAGUUCACAGAAAAUUUGUCACACAAGGACCCACAUUAUAAGAGAAGCAGAAAUUCAUGCUGCUUUAAGAGAUACCAGAGGCUGGGUGUGGUGGCCCAUGCCUAUAAUGCCAGCACUUUGGGAAGCCAAGGCAGGAGGAUUGUUUGAGCCCAGGAGUUCAAGACCAGCCUGGGCAACAUAGUGAGCCCUUGUCUCUAUAAAAAAUAAAAAAAUUAGCCAUGGCCCAGGUGUGGUGGCUCACGCCUGUAAUCCUAGCACUUUGAGAGGCCGAGGGGGGUGGAUCACUUGAGGAUAGGAGUUCAAAAUCAGCCUGGCCAACAUGGUGAAACCCCAUCUCUACUAAAAAUACAAAAAAUUAGCCAGGUGUGCCAAUGCACGUCUGUAAUCCCAGCUACUUGGGAGGCUGAGGGAGGAGAAUCGCUUGAACCCAGGAGGCAGAGGUUGCAGUGAGCUGAGAUCACACCACUGCACUCCAAUCUGUGUGACAGAGUGAGACUCUGUUUCAAAAAAAGAAACAACCACAUGUGGUGGCAUGCGCCUAUGGUCACAGAUACUUGGGAGGCUUAGGUUGGAGGAUGGCUUGGACCUGGGAAGUUGAGGCUGCAGCAAGCUAUGAUUGUGCCACUGCACUCCAACCUAGGCAACAGAGUGAGACCCUGUCUCAAAAGAAAAAAGAAAAAAGAGAGAGGGAGCAAUAUCAGAAGGUAUCAAACAUGUAAGUAAAAUCCAAAUAAAAGAACCAAAGAGAAAUAGAAACUAUUUCAAUUACAACUCAGAACUAAAUUCCUAGAAAAUAUUAAUAUGACAUGAAAGCAUGCUAAUAUAUUUAUUUUGCAAGAGUAAUAAUAUGGAUUUGACAACUUUAAAAUAGGGAGAAAAUAAAUAAGCUUAUGGUGUUAUCAAUCAGGAGACAGAAAUUAUACCAAUAAUUUAUCAGGAAUUUUUUUUUUUUUUUU